CGGAGCGAGUCCCACUUACCUGGCAGGGGAGACGCCAGGAUCAAGCAGGUGGUUUUCCCACGCGAGGCCCGUCCAUGCACCGCGGACGUGCUGUCCCCUGCUAUUUCCCCGAGUGUGGACACCUCGACUGCGUAAUCUGUGGUAGUGGGGACUGCGUCCGCGCUUUCACCUGUUGUUGGUUGCUUAAAAUAGCUUUUGUUUUCUUACUCCUUUUGUUUGUUUGUUUUUGUCUUUUCCAUGACUUUGGCUGAUGCCAGUGGCUGAAGAGGAAGCUCACUGAGGCGAUACCUGGACGCUGAAGAAAACACCGCAGCUUUUCAGGGCUGCUUUCUUGAGAAUCUGGGUUUGGCUGUCUCUCAAUCAAAAGCCCGCAGGACAGUUUCUGUCCACAGGGGAGCCACACCACUUGGGACUCAGGAGCUGGUUUACUCUUCUGCCUGAAACAAUUAAACAAAACAGCAACAGCGCCACACAAGAUGCACGAAAUGGAGAUUUCCAAGAUCCUGGGCAUCAGGCAAAGGGGACAGCCAUCCUGGACACAGGAGCCUGAGCUGAGUCCACACUGAAAACAGAGAACGGAGGGAGCAGAUGGAAGACAGAAAAUCAGCAGGUUUGGAGGAUGAGAAUAACCCAAGGAAGGACAAGGCAAUGGUGUUGCAGGAGGUUGCCAAAGGAAGUAAGAAUAAGGAGAAGUUGAGUUCGGAAAAAUCAGGGGAAACUGAGGAAUGCAUACAGCAUCAUCCAACUGUGCAAGGAGCAGCCAGAGCUGAGCAUGGAGAACUAGGGGAGUAACUUGGUCCACGGUGAACCUGUGCACCUGCCGAGGAGCCCCGCCGGAUGGAUCGGUGUUGGUUUGUACUGUUGGGAAACACCAAUUCCAAGAGGAGGAGGAGGAGGGGCACCUGCUUGGGUGGCUUAGUCGUUAAGCA